rnacentral:rRNA from 1 species
UACGGGGGAUGCAAGCGUUAUCCGGAAUCAUUGGGCGUAAAGCGCCUGUAGGUUGUUUAAUAAGUCUGUUGUUAAAGACUAGGGCUUAACCCUAGGAAAGCAAUGGAAACUACUAGACUAGAGCAUGAUAGGGGUAGAGGGAAUUUCUAGUGUAGCGGUGAAAUGCGUAGAUAUUAGGAAGAACACCGGUGGCGAAGGCGCUCUACUGGAUCAUUACUGACACUCAGAGGCGAAAGCUAGGGUAGCAAAAGGGAUUAGAUACCCCUGUAGUCCUAGCCGUAAACGAUGGAUACUAGAUGUUGCGUUUUUCAUGCAGUAUCGUAGCUAACGCGUUAAGUAUCCCGCCUGGGGAGUACGCUCGCAAGGUUA